GGAGUGCCCGACUGUGUCGUCGUUGUUUCUUAAUGGAAAUUUUACGCUGAUCACCUGAAGUGGGUUAAUAAUAAUCAUGUUAUACUAUAGUUGUUUUUCACUGUCACUUUUCUCUCCAUUGUUUUAUAGUUUUCUACAUUUCCUCGUGUUGAAUAAUUUUGAGGUUAUGAAGGAAAUACUAAUAAUUAUGGUGGAAUUUUGUUAAGUUUAUAAAUAUUAUUUUCAAGAUUAUUCAACAGAAACUUGAUAAGCUAUUAAAGAUUACAUUUCUCAGCUGUCUUUAAUCCUAUAUGUUAUCAUUUUACAGGAUUAUUUGACCUCAAAAACUCUUAAAAUACUAAACAUAAUGAUAAGAACCAUUUUUUUCUUGAAUCUACUAUCAGUUUCAAGCUAUUAUGAAAUCCCAAGUUCCUUGAAAUUAAAUUACUUUUCCCUGAAAAUUCGAAAACUCAUUUUGAGGUUCAAUGAUACGAAGCUUCAUUAUAUUUCAGUAUAUGAUCUCCUGGCUCUCAAGACACACAUAUACAUAUAAAUAAAUUCCCAUUCGGUUGAGUAACAUUCUGACCAAGUCAAGUGUAUGUGUCUUUGUAACACGAGAGCCUCGACUAUUCAGGCAAGGUGCUUAAGUGCCCCGCACCGGCCAUUCCAGUUGAUUUUCAACCGUGAUUGAGUGACGACGUGCCUUGGCUCGCGGAAUCAAAUAAGUAUACUAUAUACACCUGUAUGUGUUGGCAGGAAGUGCGAUGCGUAUACGCCGCGUGUGGCAGCAACCAACUGUUGAGUUCCCUCGCCAAAGGAUUAGGCAACCGAUCAGCGGCACAUCCGAGCCCAAUCCGAGCAAAGUCACCCUGACAAGGCCUACGAGCUGAAUUCGCAAACGUUUAAGGCUGCACUGAGAGAAAUUUCUGACAAAAAGUGAAAGGAAUAGACUUAAUUUUCUAUAAAUAGAAAAGAAAUUACUAAAAAAUUGGUUUCUGAAUUUAAAUAUUUUUCACCCAAAACAAAUUUCCCAGAUUUUUCUUUCUGUGCAUCCUGACUGUUGCUGUCGUUCCUAUAGAGUUCUCUGAAUUUUCCGACACUGCUUAUUCACGGUUGUCGAACGCUCGACGACGACGGGCAAACAAACGUGCGGCACGUUGCCGCUACACGUGAGUUUCCCCGGUUGCCUCGCCAAGCCCAGCAGCUAGUGGAAGCGAGAGGCCCGAGGCGGAAAGCUCGGCCAGCGCCGGCGACUACUUGUGGAAGCUUCGCUCGGGCCGGACGGGCAUCUCAUGCGACUGCAAUGUGAAUAAUCGCGCGAGUGCCCCACAUGUGCCACUGUGUGAGUGGGUGUUUCUCUCAGUGUCAGUUGUUGUGUGUGUUGCGAGACAUGCAAAAAUCCAGCUCGCAUUCUACUUUGUGCGUUCCAAGUCAGCGGUUCGUUGAGCGGGUCAAAAAAUAGUAUCUAUAAAAUACGCAUCUAAUGGAUACAAGAUCUCUCUCUGAAAACAAAUAACUACUAAAAUAUAGUAAUAGCAAAUAAAAGAGUUAUUUAUGGAAAUUAUUAUUCUAUUAAAUGUGAGAAUACAGAAAAAAUAAAAAUCAUAAUUCUCUCAAAAAGUGCUUAGCUAUACUAUUUGGUUUUGUGAGUGUUAUAGUGAGUGCCUGGAAGAAUUCUCUUUCGCUGGCUACGGUCUCCGAUUGCAAUUCACAAAAGUGCAAAUUAAAUGUUGACGUUGUUUUAGCAUUUUACCCAACAACAGAGAUUAAACUUUACCUAAGUGAACAAAAAACAAUCUUUAAAAACCGAAAACCUUAAAAAGAAACCCCACAAGUGCUUGGAAAAGCUUUAAAAAAUAUUUAUAAACAAUAUUUAAGUGUAGAAGUUUAAGAGUUUACUUACUUUACCCCACUCCAACACUAUCUUAUAUCAAAACCAGAGAGGAAUACGAAAACCGGGUGAGAAACCCUAUU